rnacentral:rRNA from 1 species
AUGGAUGCAGAAGCUCUGUCCAAAAUGAUUCGCAAUGCUCAAGUAGAAGGACUGCUGACAGGCCUUGCCCCGGACCUGAUUAGUGGGGGUGUUGCUAUUCUGCAAUAUGCCGAUGACACUGUCAUCUAUCUUGAACAUAAUAGAGAAGCUGCUAUUAAUCUCAAACUGCUUCUUUACAUUUUUGAACUCGUGUCUGGGAUUAAAAUAAAUUUCCUUAAGAGCGAAAUUCUUUGUGUAGGAGGAGAUGAUGACUUGCUAACCUUCUACUCUGAUCUGUUCAAUUGUCAGAUAGGGCACUUUCCUAUGAAAUAUCUGGGAGUGCCUGUAAGUUUUUCCACCCUUCAAGCUCUUGACUGGAGUUUUGUAGAUGAUAAAUUCCUUAAAUGUUGUGAGUCCUGGAUUGGAAAUGCGGCUUCCUCUGGGGGAAGGCUGACUCUCCUUAAUUCUUCCCUUACAAGCAUCAUUUACUAUUAUAUGUCUAUGUUCAUGCUCCCUAAAAAGAUCAUUGAGAGGUUG